ACCGUAUCUCGGUGCUACAUUAUUAUUCCGCUUUUAUUACCGUAAAUAUUAUUUUGGUAAGGGGUUUAUUCCCAACACAUUUUCCGAAAACAUCAUGCGCCUCUUGGGAGCCGUUGUCUAGUACUGCUCUAUCUACUUCUGUUAAAACUGUUGGUUAUUCUAUGUAAGUCAGCUGAGUUCUCGCUGACCUUUUCUAACUUUGAGGCAGAAUUAAUAUGAUGUUAAGUUGCCAUUACACUAUGCUUGACAGCAGGCAUGACCUUAAGACUUUUCUAUACAGGAAAAACUGCUGUGUGAAGAAAACAAACAUCUGGAGAACCAGAUAGCUACGACGAAGAACAAGAGAGAAGUGAACAAUGGGAUGGCUUUAGAUUUCACUAACCUUGCACCAGCUAGCAUGAAUUGUCGGCAGCCAAAAGCGACCCUGAAUUUCCUCUAGUUAUUCAGGAAGGGUUUCCUGUAGAGGCUCAACUUGCCAAGGUUAUCUGGUGCAUCUUUACUUUGUAAAUUCCCAUUUGCAUGAAGAGUCCUGAAUCACUGCAAAUAAGGAGUUUCCAGAAUUAAUAAAAACUAAGUAUUUGAAUGUUCAUCUGUAAGACCAAAUAAUUGGUUGUGAGCGUGAUGAGUUCUUCUUUCCACGUGAGAUGUGUACGGAGCGUGAUGAGGAUCUUUAUUAUUGUAGCAGUAGCACGUUUAAAAGGUUAUGCGAAUGGUUCAGAAUGUAGACGAAUAAACUCUUGUAUGGACUAGAGUGCAGUCCUAGUACAAGCUCUGAGAAUGGACAACUUGAAAAGGUCUUUGUAGAAAGAGAGACAAAAGAAGGCAUCUUUUCUUAAA